rnacentral:sRNA from 1 species
AUUCUGCCCAUGCGGGGAAGGAUGAGAAGCUUCGACCACGGUUCGACUCGAGUGCCAGCGAGAGAGCGUUGCCGCAGGCAACGACCCGUAGGGCGAAGCGCGCAGCGCUGAGUAAUCCUUCCCCCACCACCA